rnacentral:rRNA from 1 species
GAUGAACGCUGGCGGUAUGCUUAACACAUGCAAGUCGAACGGACUCUUCGGAGUUAGUGGCGGACGGGUGAGUAACGCGUGAGAAUCUGGCUUUGGGUUCGGGACAACCACUGGAAACGGUGGCUAAAACGGGAUGUGCGGAGGGGAAAAGGAGAAAUUGCCUGAAGAUGAGCUCGCGUCUGAUUAGCUAGUUGGUGAGGUAAAGGCUCACCAAGGCAGCGAUCAGUAGCUGGUCUGAGAGGAUGACCAGCCACACUGGGACUGAGACACGGCCCAGACUCCUACGGGAGGCAGCAGUGGGGAAUUUUCCGCAAUGGGCGAAAGCCUGACGGAGCAAUACCGCGUGAGGGAAGAAGGCUCUUGGGUUGUAAACCUCUUUUCUUAGGGAAGAACAAAAUGACGGUACCUAAGGAAUCAGCAUCGGCUAACUCCGUG